UAUGGCUUCCAGCGGGGUCCCGGUGGGCGCUGCCUGCUCGGCAAACGAAACCCCCGAAAUUCUGGACAACGUGGGAGACUGGCUGCGGGGCGUCUACCGCUUUGCCACCGAUAGGAAUGACUUUCGGAGGAACUUGAUCCUCAAUUUGGGACUCUUCGCCGCAGGAGUUUGGCUGGCCAGGAACUUGAGUGACAUUGAUCUAAUGGCACCUCAGCCAGGAGUGUAGCCGUAUAGGCAAGUGAAAUUCCUACACUGUAGCCAAACCUCCAAAAUGAGGGCCUACAGUCUGUGACCAGCAC